rnacentral:tRNA from 1 species
GGGUCAGAACUAUAAUGUGGUGCGGUUGCCUCACCCUGAUUUAUAUUAGGUCUGUCACACGAGAGUUCGAAUCUCUCCUGACCCACCA